UAAAAGGCCCAAAACACUAAAAGGCCUAAAAUAUUGACAUGAUAAACGGUUGAGUUGAAGCUUGUUAAUGCUUCAGUGCUUCCAAAUCAGAAGAUCAAAUUAAAGGUUGGAGUGCCAGUGAUGCUUUUGAGGAAUAUUGAUAGAAAAAAAUUAGGAUUAUAUCUCUUUCACCGUCUGACGUUAAAAUUCCUUUCAAGUUUCAACGAAGACAAUUUCCUUUGGUUGUCUCAUUUGCAAUGACUGUUAAUAAGAGCCAAGGACAAUCACUUAAAAAUGUUGGAUUUUUUUUUGCCAAGUCCUGUAUUUUUGCAUGUUGAGCUCUACGUUGCAAUUUCAAAAGUCACUUCAAAAGACAGGUUAAAGAUACUAAUGUCUGAUGAUUAAAGUUAAACUCAAUCAAUAAUGAGACUACUUCAUCAUUAAUAUGUGAUCAUUGCUGUAUAAUAUCCAUGUUUAAAUUUUAUCAUACAACUUCUAUUGGAUACUAUAUAUAUUAAUUAUGUUGCAACUUAUUCCUUU
rnacentral:lncRNA from 1 species